UACGUAGGGGGCAAGCGUUGUCCGGAUUCAUUGGGCGUAAAGAGCGCGCAGGCGGUCGUUCAAGUCGCGUGUGAAAGCCCCCGGCUCAACUGGGGAGGGUCACGCGAUACUGAUCGACUGGAAGGCAGGAGAGGGUAGUGGAAUUCCCGGUGUAGUGGUGAAAUUCGUAGAUAUUCGCAAGAACACCAGUGGCGAAGGCGGCUCACUGGCCCGAUACUGACGCUGAGGCACGAAAGCGUGGGGAGCAAACAGG
rnacentral:rRNA from 1 species